rnacentral:lncRNA from 1 species
CGGCCUGGCGUGAGAAACGGCGAGAAGGCUUUGUGGUUUUAGAGGCGAUCGAUGCUUAACCUGUGUUGUUUCCACCACUUGAUCACCAGUCCUUCACAGAAGAGACC